rnacentral:rRNA from 1 species
GACGAACGCUGGCGGCGUGCUUAACACAGGCAAGUCGAACGACGUGGCGAACGGGUGAGUAACGCGUAAUCAACCUGCCCUUCAGAGGGGCACAACAUUUGGAAACGACUGCUAAUACCGCAUACUGAAGGAGUGGACUGCGUCUGAAUAGCUAGUGGGAGGGGUAACGGUCCACCAAGGCGAUGAUCAGUAGGCGGGCUGAGAGGUGUAACGGCCACAUUGGGACAGAGAAACGGCCCAGACUCCUACGGGAGGCAGCAGUGGGGAAUCUUCCGCAAUGGACGAAAGUCUGACGGAGCAACGCCGCGUGAGUGAGGACGGCCGUCGGGUUGUAAAGCUCUGUUAAUCGGGACGCGGUACCGGAAUAGAAAGCCACGGCUCACUACGUGCCAGCAGCCGCGGUAAUUC